GCCAAACCUUAUUAUAAAAAAAUAACAAUUUCAUCAUUGCUAUACUACCUAAAUGCUUAAGCAUUAUAUAACAAAUGUCAUCCUUUCCUGGUGAUGUAAGUCCUCCUCUUUCUAUUGCUCUUUUCAGUUCCUCUAAGGUAAAUGGGGCAUCACUAGGACUAUUAGUAUCAUCUCUCUUUCCAAGAACAUCGGGAUCCUCUCCUCCUGCAUCACCAUCUGGUACGCUGCUGCCACUGCCAGUGACAAAGGCAGACUGCAGCGUGUCAUCCGUUCUGCCGAGAAGGUGAUUGGCUGCAAUCUGCCAUCUCUACAGGACCUGUUCGCCUCUAGGACCCUGAGGCGGGCAGGUAAGAUUGUGGCCGAUCCCUCCCACCCGGGUCACAAACUCUUUGAGGUCCUUCCCUCCGGCAGGAGGCUGCGGUCCAUUAGGACCAAAACCUCACGCCACAAAACCAGCUUCUUCCCGGCUGCCGUUGGCCUCAUGAACAAGGCCCGGACCCCCACCUGACGUGGUCACCUCCCCUCCCCCACACCUCAAGCCUGUGUUAUGCACACACUACUUUGCACACUGAACAUUGCACAUGCACUUUUGCACUCCUGCCCUGCUUUUUUUUUUGUAUUGUAGUACUUAUUGUGUUUGUAUGUUCUAUGUUUUAUGUUCAUUUUAUGUUCACUGUAUGCACCUAUACACCAGAACAAAUUCCAGGUAGGUGUAAACCUACUUGGCAAUAAAUACAAUUCUGAUUCUGA